GCCCGCCGGAUGAACUGGGUCCUCGGGAUCCCUGAGCUCUGCAGCCUUGGCAGCAGUGUGAGGAGGCUCUCGCUGCGUUUCCACGGGUGGGAUCAAGUGGAAUUUUGGAAGGAUGAGUGCUGGCAACUUAAGCUCUGACUUCUGGAAGGCACGGAGCAGGAUGGAGGGACCUCUGUGAGUCAGGAGACAGCAGGCCCGGGACUUGAGUGAUGGAAGUUCUUUGCUCCCAGAACCACUGUGGCUAUGGCACUCCCUCUCUGACAUCCCUGAUGUUUCUGUCUGCCCAUUCUUCCCUCCCCAUGCCUACCACCCUAUGCCCUGUGGUCUCCUCAGAAGGAAAACUUAAGACUCGCAGCUGCACGGCUACAAGCGUGGGGAUGAAGCCACUGAGGGCCCCCACGUAUUUUCCUUGGCUCCUGCACAAGCUGUUGACAUCAUUGCAGGCUUCACCAUUCAUGGACUGCUGUUUGGAGCUUGUGGCCACGCGGGGCUGUGCUCCAGAGUCUGGGGAAGGAAUGACGAGCGAGGUGAGCCCCACCCACUGCCAGCCCACUCCUCUAGUGCACAGGAGUCCAGCCGAGGCAGCAGAGCCUUUGUUCUGGUUCUAAGAUUGGGGGAAAUGGUGACAAAUGCCUGCUGCAGCCUCCCGACGAUGCCCUCAGUCUCUGAACCCAUGGAGAUAUUAUUCUGCUGAUGAAGACAGAGCCCUCAGGAUCUGGAUCUCAGGUAUACGUUCCCAGGCCCAUUGUUUAUAAAGUAUUAAGUGCUGUGCAUGUUUUCUGCACCCCACUUGACUAUAAGUCAGGUAUUUCCAGAGAGCUCAUCAGCGGGCAACCAAACCCUAGCCAUUCUUCCGGGGACAUUCCGGAUUUAAACCACAGUACAUAAAAGGCACAGACAUGGUGAGUGUUGAAACAACAGAAGCAGAAACCCCCACGUUUUCGCUCAGACAGCAUCCUUCCUGCCCUUCCCAGAAGCCCAUUUUACCCCUCAGUGUGCUCCCCUACUGAGCUCUAAGACUCCCAGGACUGGGGCACUGCAGUGUUCUGGCCCCUGGAAUUGUGCUGCCGCAUAGCGAACACUUCACUAAUGUUCAUGGAUAAUGCAUAACAAUGUCUACCUGUUAGGUUUCUAUGCUGUGAUGAAACACCACCAUCAAAAUCAAGUUGGGAAGGAAAGAAUUGUUUGGCUUACACUUCCACAGCACUGUUCCUCAUCGAAGGAAGUCAGGACAGAAACUAACAGGAUGGGAACCUGGAGGCAGGAGCUGAUACAGAAGCCAUGGAGGUGUGCUGCUUGCUGACUUGCUUCUCACAGCUUUCUCAGCCUGGUUUCUCAUAGAACCCAGGGCCACCAGCUCAGGGUACCACCCACAAUGAACUGGACCCUCCCCCAUCAAUCACUAAACAAGAAAAUGCCCUAGAGGCUUAUCUACAGCCUUAUCUUACAGAAGCAUCUUCCCAACCAAGGCUCCCUCUCUCUCUCUGAAGACUCUAGCUUGUGUCAAUUUGACAACAACAACUCCCCCCCCCCCAAAAAAAACUAGCAGCUCAUGAUUACGAUGUUUGCUAUUAAGAUUAUUAUUAAAGUAUUAUUAAGAGCCCAACAACUUUAAGGGACUGAGAGUUUGCACUUACUGUCUUAACUAAGACAGUAACAUCCUCCCCUCAAAGUACUCAUUGUCAUCUGUUUCGGAGAAGCUCCGGUAAUUGAAGUGACGGUCCCUGAUGCUGCAUGGCGAGCAGCAAGAGCCAGAACCAACCCUGGAAUUCACGCACUCUCCUCAGAACCACGCUGUGACCCACAGGGAUUUGUAAUGCCCCAUAUAUUCUGUUUCAACAAUGAGGAGCCACAACUACAGUCCACCAUUCCUGAGAGUUGAGCAAUUCAUCCCCCUCUGCCAUUUGCCCUGGCCAGCUCUGCUGCCUGCCCAGCAGAAGGAAGGUGGGGGCUUGUGGUAAUUACAGACUAUGUUGUCCUUUUCAUUUAUGUCUUCACAAUCCAGCCUGACACCGUGUCAUAAAAGUUUAUGUACUGUGUUCUCUCCGCUCCUCACUAAUAUUCGCCGGCAUUCUCCCUGGCCAUCCUGAAUCAAUACCGUCUCUCCCUCUCUCAAUAAAGAAGGGAGCGGUGAACAAGGCCCAAAUGUGCACAAUGACUAUUUGCGGCAAUUAGACGUCACUCUGAAAAAUGACCACUCUGGAGGAGAGUGCACAAGAUCUAAGGACUGGCACAGCCCUAAUGUCCCUCACCAGAGACGCUGAAAAUUGCGUGGCUUAAAAAAUAUCUCCCCUCUCCUCACUUCUUCUCUUUUCUCCACUAUCUUGUCUUUCUUUCUCGCCAGAGAUAUGGAGAGAGAAGAGCAUUCAAAUUAGGGACCCCGGCAAUCGAUUUUUACUUGCAGUUGGUGGAUUGUAAUCAAUGUUAAUUAACCAGGUUCUUUUUCAGUCCAGGUUUGGACAGGAGAGUAACUGCACAAUAUUUUUGACCAAGACAAAGGAUAUUAAUGGGCUUUGGUCAGUCAGAGGGCAAGAUGGGGAGGAGGGCUUAUGUUGAGAGAGUCUUGGAGGAGAGCGAAGGCUGGGGCUGCUCUCAGGUGGCCCUGUCCGUGACCUUAGCAGCUUUCUUGAGAGCCUUAGCAUGGUGUAUCAGCUGCCUGCAUGUCUGCAAGUAAGAAGCAGACCUUCUGUCCUAGGUAGGG